GGCAAUGCGAGAAAUCGUGACCAGGGAACUCCAAGUGCGUAGGGUAAGACCUACGCUUUUCUUGACUCUUCAAAGGUCUUGGAAUAAGGGGUGGGUAAGGACGGUGCCAGCCGCCGCGGUAAUACCGGCGCCUCAAGUGGUAGUCGCUUUUAUUGGGCCUAAAACGUCCGUAGCCGGUCUGGUGCAUUCGUGGGUAAAUCAACCCGCUCAACGGGUUGAAUUCUGCGAGCACGGCCAGACUUGGGACCGGGAGAGGUGUGGGGUACUCUCAGGGUAGGGGUAAAAUCCUGUCAUCCUGAGAGGACCACCUGUUGCGAAGGCGCCACACUAGAACGGAUCCGACGGUCAGGGACGAAACCUAGGGGCACGAACCGGAUUAGAUACCCGGGUAGUCCUAGGUGUAAACGCUGUGGACUUGAUGUUGGGGGCGCUCCGAGCGCUCUCAGUGUCGAAGUCUGAAGCGUGAUAAGUCCACUGCUCUGGGGAGUUAUCGUGUCGCAAGGGUCCUGAAACUCAAAGGAAUUGACGGAAUCAUAGUCGCCGCCUGCA
rnacentral:rRNA from 1 species